rnacentral:rRNA from 1 species
UACGUAGGGUGCGAGCGUUGUCCGGAAUUAUUGGGCGUAAAGAGCUUGUAGGCGGUCUGUCGCGUCUGCUGUGAAAACUCGGGGCUCAACCCCGAGCUUGCAGUCGAUACGGGCAGGCUAGAGUUCGGCAGGGGAGACUGGAAUUCCUGGUGUAGCGGUGAAAUGCGCCAGGAUAUCAGGAGGAACACCGGUGGCGAAGGCGGGUCUCUGGGCCGAUACUGACGCUGAGGCGCGAAAGCUAGGGGAGCAAACGGG